AGAGUUUGAUCCUGGCUCAGAGCGAACGUUAGCGGCAGGCUUAACACAUGCAAGUCGAGCGAGAAAGGGGCUUCGGCCCCCGGUAAAGCGGCGGACGGGUGCGUAACACGUGGGUAAUGUGCCCUCUUGCGGGGGAUAACAGUCCGAAAGGAUUGCUAAUACCGCAUACGUCGGCGAGAACUUCGGUUCUUGUCGGGAAA
rnacentral:rRNA from 1 species